UACAUGUCAGUUUGUCGAAUAAAAAAAAAAGAUAUUCAGCUAAGAUUUUUUUUUUUCCCUCAGAGCCUUGUAAACUGCAAUUUGUGCUCUGGUAAGAAAAACCUGGCAGAGGAGUUAGGAUAGCCAUUACCAUUUGAAAAGAAGCAAUCAUAAGGCCGCUGCUGAGCCCUUUGUCCACUAAAAAUGCUGAUUUGCAGGCAGUGAGUGAAAAAGUGGAACCAUCACUAAAUAAAACCUUGAGCUAGGUAACAACCCUCCGGCCCCCACCCUUGCCGGCUUUUGAAUGUUGGUUAAAGGUGUUUUUAAAAAACGUAUCUUAAAUCCGAUACUUACUAUCAUUAUAACAUUGUUACAGGUCAUUAAUGUCCUUUCCUAAAAAAAAUAAUAUAAAGGAUGCAUUGAGGAAGUGGUAGGUGGAACACAGGCCAACAGUGAAUUGAAAGGCUGACGCUGGCUAUCACUUGUAUCUUACUUUGGUCCCUUUGUACGGCAUCAUGAUUUUCCACCAGUCAAUCCUUUACGCUCUAUUUUCCCCCUCCCGUAUCAGUGUGCUCCUAGGUUUUCCCAUUUUUAGUUAUACUCUGAUUUUAAAGUGGGAACUGCAUUUCCAACGUUCACAUAUUUAGCCUAUUUGGGUGCACUUGGCUAAAAAUGUAAUGCACUUUUAGUCAUGAUUUGCUAUUCGUAUGUGGUCAUCUCUAUACUUUUCUGUUAGGUAAUCCAUAUACAGAAGUAAAAAAGAAAAGAGCUAGAAAGUGAAAAGAGGAUAAUUGCCAGUAAAUACAGAGUGAUAGCAGUCACACAUCAUCUAUUUAAUUGUCAAAUAGGAUAAGAAAAAUUAGUUAUUUCAAGAAUUUUUGAGGCUUCCCCCCUCCCUGGAAAUCAUUACUAAUAGUAGUAGUAGUAGUAAUAAAAAUAACAUGUAGCUGCAAGCUUUUCAUUUGGAAAAUUAUCUAAAAAAUAAGUUACUGUAUCAACACAACCAUCUGUGCAAACAUACUCAAAUUCCGUAUGUGGAUUUAAUUCAGAGAUACAUAUUAACUUUCAACGGCAGAUACUUUUAUAUUCCAUUUUUUGUACACUUGGCUAUGGUGACAGGCAUUUGCAGAAAGGCAGCAGGUUAGAAAUGUCUUUAUCCUAAAACACCAACUUUAUUGAUGAUUGCUAAGAGCAUACAUGGCCUUCAAAACUAGAUUUUCCAACAGCACGUUGCUGUUCCUCGAGUCCUUCACCUGGAGACUGGGUUUUAGGUUUUCAGGCCACCCUCCAUUAAAGACAUUCACACUUCCAGAUAAGAGGGUUUUAUUUCUCCUAAUUUACAUCUAAUACUUGAACAACAAAAAUUUUUUUCAAGGGAUGCCUUACGAAAGGACUUGCUUCUUACUUGUGGAGGUUUCUGGAAAUCACAAUGGUCAAUAGGGGGCUGAUUGAGAGAAGUCAGUAAUUCAGAUGCUGCCGCCUCCUCCCACUGCUUUGCAGGAAGGCCCUGAACUUCUUUUUAUUUUAUUUAUUUAUUCUUUCAAAGAGUUUAUUUAUUUAGUUGACAGAGAGAGAGAGCCCAAGCAGGGAGAGCAGCAGGCAGAGGGAGAAGCAGGCUCCCCACUGAGCAGACAUCACUACCGUGGGGCUCCAUCCCAGGACCCUAGAAUCACGACCUGAGCCAAAGGCAGACGCUUAACCUAACCGACUGAGCCACUCAGGUGCCCCUGGCCCUGAACUUCUUCAUAAAGUUUUUUAACUCUAGGUUUCCCUGUGUGCACGCCCCCCUUGCAAAGAAGAACACACCGGCAAGGGGAAAAAAAAAAAAAAAGAAUGAAUAGGUUAGUAAGUGCUAAGAGGAUAAUGAGACAGAGAAGGUCUGGGCUUCCUUAGUGUGUGUCUGCAGAAUGCAGGCGAUGGUAAAUCUGUAUCAAAAAUCAGGCACAGCAGGAGGUGUCGGUCUCCCAGGUAAUGGGUAAAUGAUGAGCACAUGAGCCAUCUUUGUAUCGAUUUAAGCAUUUUGUUCCAGCCAGUCACAAUUAACUUUGAUUUGUUUUUACUUUCCUCUUAUAGGUUUGCAUUUAAAACACUCUUAGAGCACUAAUUGUAUAAAAUUCUGGUAACUGCACAUUCUCUUUUUCGAGAGGUAAUGAGCGAAUGAAUGAAAAGGCAGGGAUUAUUUGCCAUUCUAAGAGCGGGGAUUGUCAGAACAUUUCUACUUGACUGAAAUUGUUUUGGAAGGUGAGCUGGAACAAGAAUCUUGCAGCUAAAAUGAAAAGAGGUAAAGGGUGAGGUUUCUUUCUCAGAACACACACCUCUGUCCUCUGUGCUCCUCAGAUUCUGCAGUGUCUUAAAUCACAAGGUGGGUCUCACAGCUGUAAUAUAUUUGGCAGGAUAUCCUGCCUUCUUGCAGCCCAGAUGUCAAGAAAGACAAAGUCCUGGCUAUCUCAGAAAGAUCUGGCUCUGUUUCUUUCCCUCCCCAGCCCCCAUCCAGGGCAUGCUUGGACUUGAGGGCUGAACGUAUAUAAUAAACACGCUGGAGAAGUUUGGGGCGGUAGCUCCGGUUGUGUUUUCGGUAACUGGUCCGGUUUGGGUGUUCCCUGAUCCUUUUCAUCAGCAUGGCAGAUGGGGCAGCAAGGAAGGGAAAAUAAUGGCAAGUUUGAUGAAGAUGCCUUACAUUUGUCGAGUAAAGUGCCUUUGUGAUUUUUGUCAGUGUUUAUUACUCAGAGAUUGAGAAUCAAAAGGUGCUUUUUCUGAAAAAAAAUGCAUAGCUUGCUACGUAACCACUAGGGUCAUCUCAGGGUCUGGUUUUGGGUUUUUUCCGCUAUGUGGGAUUGAAGUACGCAGCUCUGCUUUUACAGAGCAAUCACCUGAUGCCAGCAGCACCGGGGCAGGACCAGCUCCCCCUCAGUUCGGCCACAGGUGGGAAGGAGCCACAGUUUUCCAGACAGCCCGUGACACUGGAAGCAGCCACCGGUGCAGGAGAAUUUUGGCUUCAGAGGACAGGAUUGGCUUCGUCUUCUCCAGGGCUACAAACUCCAUGCCUAGCAACGUUCUUUGAAUGUAGAAUACCUUCCUGGCACAUAAGCGAGUACAUAAGCAAGCGGACUCAACAGCUUUCUUGGAAGGAGUCAGCCGCUGCAGGUGUGUGGAGAUUCAGUACUGUUGCUGCAGAAAUGCUGGUCCGAGAGGGGAUUGGUGAACACGUGAGCGACUGGGUGAGGAUCCAGCCCCAUUCCCAGAAAAGCAAAGCCUGAGCACCACUGUCAUUUUUGCAUCUGGACAGAAUGUGCCACUUAAAAUUUGAGCUCGUUACUCAACCUCCCUGCGUCUCUGUGUCCUCAUCUGGAGAACGGAGAUAAGAUUUGCUCCCUCUCUACCUCACCAGGAUCUGAGAAGAUUAGAUAAUGGCUGUAAAGUCCUUCUACAAAGGCCAACAAUACCAAAGACCAACAGUGAAGGACAGUACUAAUCUCUGUAGCAGGGAAGUGUGACUAACACCACAAAUUUGUAAUUUAGCAGGCUCACCUGAGAAAAACUGAGUAUAAAUGACCACAACUCUUAUAACGAUUAAUUUUACCUGGGCAUUUCAAGGCCAAGUCAGCAAGAGAGAUUUAGAUCAGAGACACAGAUUUUGUUACUCAUAACUCAGCAAGCAGCAUAAACAUCAGCAUAUUUGGAGUCCUAAACCUCCCUUCUUACUGAGUGACACUAAGGGAGCCAGGUACCCCCACAGGUUCAGUUAAGUUGUAUUACAGGAGUGAAAUCCUGCACUUGGAAAAUCUGAAAGUUUCAUACUGGGAAACCAGCUUGCUGACCCAUUACUUGGGAUGGGGAUAGUAACUCUAUCUUCAGUGAGUGUUCACUACACAAAUAUAAUCUGGGACAAAAGUCAGCGCUUCUGCUUGCAAGAUAUACAGAAAAUGAGAGACCUACAGAAAACUGUCUCUCAACAACAUUAGCAGCUGGUUUCAUAGAAAAAAGCCAAAGAGUAAAACACAGACCGAACACCUUCCUGCUUUUUGAGACUACAUCUCUCCUGGAAGAAACACGGCCGCAACUAAUCAAUUCUCGAAUUGCCAUGACCUUCAGAUUGCUAACCAUAUUUUCUGGGGGCAGUGUGGCCUUUUCUUUUGUGCUCCUGGGGGACGGACCCUCUGGGCAUGUACGCCAGUGCUCUUCAGGGAUGGUUACUUGAGGUGAAUACCUUGUAGAGACUGGUCUCUCAUUCAUUAUUUCUUUGAUAUGCUCUGUUUCAUGUUCUGUACAACCAAUGGCAUUUGCUCCUAGAUGGGUAGACCUAGCUGUUACCUAGUGUCAUGGGAUAGAGUCUGAGAUGGAGAAGAGAUUGUUGGAAGGGAAGCGUGACACAAUGGCCAAAUCAUAAACCAUAACUCCAUUAAGUCCUAUUUUCAUAUUGAAUAGGCAAUGAAAUUGUAUUACCUGUCUCUUACAAUGGGAAGAAAAAUCAAUAUGUGCCAUUUCUUCGUGUGAUGAAUGUCUUUCUCUAUCCUCCCUGCUGUUGCUACCCGCCACAUUUUACAUUAGCACGAUACCAAGAACCAGUGGUUUCACUGGAGUGCUAUCAGUUACACUGGAAGGAACAACAGAGAAUGAUAAAGAAGGUAAAAGGAAGCUGAGUGAAGGAGUUUGGUUGAGUCCUGUUUCUUGGAUAAGCAAAGAUUUGGCAUCCUUUUGCCUGGCUGUGAGCAGAAAGUCCUUGAUUUUAUCCAUUUUUUGAGGCAUGGCUCUGAGAGGCACAGGAGAACGUGCGGUUGGCACUGCGAGCUGUAAGAAGCAAGGAGUAAACUAAGUAUUUGAGUAUUUCCUGAGCAAUGAAAAGUCAUGGUGUACGUAACGAUGUGAAAUUCGAAGCAAACGAUGACUGUGGCUAUCCCUCUGGCCUUGUCCAUGCGAGAUGCAAGUGUGCACGUCUUCAAGGAUAAUCCUUACAGAGUAGUAACUAGAGCCUACCUCGCAGUGAUCAAGAUCCUAAGCAGACCUCCCACGGACACACCGACACCAUGAGCACACGUAGCACACAGAUGUCUCCGAGAACGACCUGAAGCCUGGCAGAACAGGUCUUCCACAACUAAAGGUAAAAAGAAAAAGCCACAUCGAGACAGGUGGGAGGGGCCGAGAUGUGGUCUAGUCAGUGAGCAUACCCCCUGCGUGGUGACCCACAGCGGGAGGGAUAUCACGAGUGUGGAAGUCCUCCCUGAGAAGGGAGGGGUUCAAAUGCCUCAUCGGGUACCCUAGCCAUGGGGCUCCCGCUAGGAAGAUGAGUCCUUGUAAUACCCAGCCUUGAAAACCAGUAGGGCAGAGUCCAGGAGAGCUGGAGGACUGUGGGAAACCAAGACUUCACUCUUAAAGGGUUCAUACACAAACUCCCUCACUCUGAGACCCACUCCAGAGGUGGUGAUUUGAAAAGCACUUGGGUCAUAUGUGAAAAAGAUUCAUUGACUGAUUUUAGGGCAUGUGCCGGAGGGGCAGAGAUCUGUAGGAACUUUCCUUGGGAACAGUAUACUGUCAGGCACCACCAUUUUUACUCUCCUUCUACCUUGCUGGCCUGGUGCUGGCAGGUGCCAUUUUUGACUCUCUCCAUCUACCUUGCCAUCACUGCUCACCCUACCCCCGUGUUCCACUGUGGACCCACUGGGGCAGGCGGUCUAACCGCCCCCCCCCAACCAAAGUGGCUUCCACCCCUACCAUUUAUAAGUGGAAUCUAAAAAGUAAAGAAACAAAAUGAAGAAAACAAAACAGAAACAGACUCAUAGAUACAAAGAACAAACUGGUGGCUGUCAGAGGGGAGAAGAUGGCAGCCAGAGAGGUAAUGGGUGAAUGAGAUUGAGAUGUGCAAACCUCCAGUACUGAAAUAAAUAAGUCAUGGCAAUGUAAAGUACAGCUUAGGGAACAUAGUCAAUAAUAUUGUAAUAAUUUUGUAUGGUGACAGAUGGUAAGUGGACUUAUCAUGGGCGACCAUGUCAUGAUGUAUAUAAACAUUGAAUCACUAUGUUGUACACCUGAAACUAAUAUAGUAUGUCAACUAUACUUUUAAAAAAAGAAGAAAAAAGAGCAGCUUGAAGCUUGAAAUGGGGAGUCUAUUUAAAUGAUGUAGCUAAAACAAAAGAAAAAUCUCUAGCACGUAUCUAAUGGCUUAUUCUGCUCAAUUUUUAUCUAGAAAUAUUGCAUGAUUAUUGAUUAAAGAGAAUCCUUAAUUCAAUAGGAUGUCCAAGAGAUAGGUUUGCUCUGGUUAAUGAGAUGUUCUGAAGAACUGAAAAUGACCAAGAAACCCAUGUUGUUGUUUAUUUCCUCAUUUUCUGUUAAAAAUACAUGUGAAAAUAUGCAUGCAUCCAUUUCCCUCAAAAGUGAGGGUCUAGUGAAAUGAAUGAAAUAUUUGAUCAGUGAAUUCCUUCGUAGCCCAAAAAGAAAGAAAGAGACGAGAGAGAGAGAGAAAAGAAAAAAGAAAAGAAAAAAAAAAGAAGGAAGAAAGGAAGAAAAUAAUGGGCAAGCAUUAGGACAGCAAGUCUGAAGUGUUCCACGUAAUGAGCUCUGACUCACAGAUGAUUUGGGGCUUUGGUGUGCCAGGCUAGCACAUCAUGUGUGAAUAAGCUUGUGGCAGGGGCUGAGGGUGAGGCCUGAGGACAUGGUUUAUGUUGGAGCCUCACCGUGUUCUGGGUGACUCAUGUGCACUAAACAGCAGAGUCAUGAACCAUUUACACACACCCAAUAUCAGGUUCACUCUGAGGCUGUUCUCCUGCAGCCAUUUUACGGCUCUCUCUCAAAAGCACAGAACCUGGUUUGGCCUUUUUCAGGAGAAUCAUGAAGAGGAAUUGAAGAACAGAGGGCCUUAAGGUCCAGAUGGUCCUUUCCUGGGGAGAGUGUUUGUCCUCUGAGUUCUGAAAGACGCUUACACGCAGCAGGAACGGAGUGGUGGCGAGUUGGCGGGGCCCAGCGAGCUGAAGGUCGGCUGCACCUGCUAACUCUCGGCCCUGGCUGAGAACCAGGAAGAAAGCAAAGGUAGACUUCCCCUGAGAAAUCUGGAUGGACAAUUUAAAGGAGGAUCUAGCACCAUUUGAAUGAAUAAAUGAAUGCAGCACUUUAGCAGAACUACAGUAUAUUGGACAGCAAGAGAAGAUGCUCUCAAGACAGAAAAGAGACUUAUUCGACCCAGCAGAGCGCAUUUCUCCCACGGGGUGAGGAGGGGGGGUGAUGUGCAUUAAUUAUCUUGUUUUGGUCUAGGAUGACUGAUAGCAAUUCCAUGGACUGUUUUGUGAUAUUAGACAAAGGUUCUUGGGGCAAAAUGUGAUUAGAAUAUGUUCAACUCGAUGACAUGUAUGUUAAGCCUAUUGGCACAUAGCAACCAAUUUCAUUGCAUGGCCUACUGGCUAGAAACAUCAAAAAUAGGAGUCAAAUCAUUUGGAGAAGAGUUGUUUAGUGAGUUAGAAUGAAUGGAGUCUUUAGUGAGCACCGGCAUCAAAUUCUGUCCUAGUUUGUUGCUUGCCAUGCCCUGUUCUCCAUCUGGGAUGCCCAAGGCACUCUUUUUCAGGACACUUGACCUAAAAGUCAUAUUUCAGAAACUACUGAUUUGGAGCUUGCUGUUGGAGUUUAGACUCUGAGGAGUCCAGCUGCUGGAUUACAUACAGACUAAUGACCCAUCAGAUGCUAAAGGCAAAAGCUUAAAGUGCACUUGUGAAUUAAACCACAGUAUUGUCGGAAAGGAAGAAUUUAUUAUGUCAUUAAAUUUAGUGCAAUAAGUUUUGCUUCUUUAGAUGCACUGCACUGAAGGAAAAGUAAGAAAUUAAUUUUAAACAAAUGUUAUUUUUCUUCCACGUACCCAGGUAAAGGAUAUUCAUGUGAAAGGGAAUAUUUUAUUGGGAUUAAAAGAAACCAGUAACAGGAAUGAUAAAUUGUGAAAACUGGGCAUGACUGCCUAGCCAGACAUGAACUUUUAAGAUCAGAGACUGCUUCAGUUAGGAAGAGGAAAACCAGCCUUGCCUAAUUUAAUGACACCCUGAGUGAAGUUUUCAGGGCUUUGCAUAAAAUCUCAGAGGCUCAGUGAUAUGAAGAUGUUAGCAAUAAUCAUAGUUGAUGUUUAGAGUUUAAUCUGAAAGUCAGAAUGGGCACAAAAUGAAAAUCAAG